CCUCCUGCUGAAAAAGGAAAAGGCCCUUUCAAAUAAAGCUGGGUAGGAAUCAAAAGCUUUCUUCUUUCCUGGAGGUUUUCAAAGACUACAGCCGAGUGGAUGAAAAAGUAUUAUUUGGCAUCAUCUGUGGUACAGUUGUUGAUACAGGCCACUAGAGCUUUGCAUUUUUUUGACUCACUGGUAGUUUUAGUUGCACUACAGCCACUUUUCAGGAUACCCUGGGGCUCCUUGCUUUCCUGGCAACUUAAUCCUCAAAACCACCUUAUUUCAUUCUCCCGGGGCUGGGUAAAAAACAUCCAGUGUCCAACGAUCGCUCCCACACUGAAGGUGCCAGAACACAAAGCUGUGGCUUGUCCUCACCGUCCCUUGGCAGCACUUUCAUUGCCCCACAAAUCUUGGGGCUCUGUGCUUUCCUGGUGACUUCAUCCUCAAAACAAACAAUUUUUCCCCCCAAAUACCGGGGGACCCCCCAAAAUUCCACCCCCCCCUCCAGCCCCUCAACGCCCCCAAGCCUCCUCCUUUCCCCCCAUCACCACUCAGGCCAUUCCCAUCUCCUCCUCACAUCCUCCUCCAAAUCAUGGCUCGCUUCAGGCCACUCUACCCGCAAAAACAGGAGUCUCACAAGCCCCCAGACAACCCUCUCCCCAUCCCAGCUCAGGGCUCCCCUCAGGCCAACCCCCACUGCGACACCCGCAGGGGUCCCCCCCUCAGACCCUCAUGUUCCUCCUCAGCCCCCUACAAUCCCUCCCUUAGACCUUUUCAGUGGCCCCCUCCAGGCUCCAUCCCCCCACCAGCCCACCAAUAACCUCUCAGCACCCACCCCCUCCCGCCCCCAGCCGCCUUCAAGGUCCCCUUACCCUCCCCAUUCCCCCCCAGGCUCCCUCCGCUCACUUAGCCCCGCCUCGCUCCAGUCCCUCCCAGGUUCCCCUCAGCCCCCUCGUUACCCCUCAGGAAGACUAUUCCUCAAGCCCCGCUCCAGGCCCCCCCCAACAUCCUUCGAGGGACACCAGGACCACCCUGUUCCCCCUCACGGUGCCCUCAGGCCCCCCGCCGCCCCCCGCUCACCUUGACGCAGUCCAGUUGCAGCUCAGAGGGCCCGGCGCGGCUGAGUACCCACCCGCCA
rnacentral:lncRNA from 1 species